rnacentral:rRNA from 1 species
CCUACGGGAGGCAGCAGUGGGGAAUAUUGGACAAUGGGCGAAAGCCUGAUCCAGCCAUGCCGCGUGUGUGAAGAAGGCCUUCGGGUUGUAAAGCACUUUCAGUGGGGAAGAAAGCCUUGGGGCUAAUACCCUCGAGGAAGGACAUCACCCACAGAAGAAGCACCGGCUAACUCCGUGCCAGCAGCCGCGGUAAUACGGAGGGUGCGAGCGUUAAUCGGAAUUACUGGGCGUAAAGCGCGCGUAGGCGGUUUGAUAAGCCGGUUGUGAAAGCCCCGGGCUUAACCUGGGAACGGCAUCCGGAACUGUCAAGCUAGAGUGCAGUAGAGGAAGGUAGAAUUCCCGGUGUAGCGGUGAAAUGCGUAGAGAUCGGGAGGAAUACCAGUGGCGAAGGCGGCCUUCUGGACUAACACUGACGCUGAGGUGCGAAAGCGUGGGUAGCAAACAGGAUUAGAUACCCCGGUAGUC